rnacentral:rRNA from 1 species
UACAGAGGUCCCGAGCGUUGUUCGGAUUCACUGGGCGUAAAGGGUGCGUAGGUGGUGGGGUAAGUCUCGUGUGAAAGCUCGCAGCUUAACUGCGAAAAGUCACGGGAUACUAUUCCGCUGGAGGCUUGGAGGGGGGACUGGAAUACUUGGUGUAGCAGUGAAAUGCGCAGAUAUCAGGAGGAACACCAAUAGCGAAGGCAGCUCGCUGGGACGUUACUGACACUGAGGCGCGAAAGCGUGGGGAGCGAACAGG